GACGAACGCUGGCGGCGUGCUUAACACAUGCAAGUCGAGCGGUAAGGCCCUUUCGGGGGUACACGAGCGGCGAACGGGUGAGUAACACGUGGGUGACCUGCCCUCAGCUCUGGGAUAAGCCUGGGAAACCGGGUCUAAUACUGGAUAUGACUCCAUGACGCAUGUUGUGGGGUGGAAAGCCUUGUGCGGCUGAGGAUGGGCCCGCGGCCUAUCAGCUUGUUGGUGGGGCGANGGCCUACCAAGGCGACGACGGGUAGCCGGCCUGAGAGGGCGACCGGCCACACUGGGACUGAGACACGGCCCAGACUCCUACGGGAGGCAGCAGUGGGGAAUCUUGCGCAAUGGGCGAAAGCCUGACGCAGCGACGCCGCGUGAGGGAUGAC
rnacentral:rRNA from 1 species